rnacentral:lncRNA from 1 species
CAGCAAGAGAAAAUUGGCUGCAGUGCAAAGAAGCCAGGCUCAAAAGGCAGGGUUAUCCCAUUUCUAUGACAUGUCACAGGCCCAGCCAACUACUUUAAUUUUUUAAAAAAGAUAUUAAAACCAGAAAGCAGGUGGUUGCUGGAGACUGGGAGGAGGGGGAAGGAGUGACUGCUUCAUGGAGUCAUUUUGGAGUGACGGACAUGUUUUGGAACCAGGUAGGCUGUGUAACACUGUGAAUGUAUGAAGUGCCAUUGAAUUGUUCACUGUAAAAUUCCAAGAAAACCUGCAGACUCCUGCCUUUCUGUGAAGAGUUCGUGUCCACUGUCAUCGUGGGGUGAGCUGUGAUUCUGCCUUCUGCUCUGGCCUCAGUCCCCAAGCACCCAGCACUGUGAGCAUGAGGCAUAGGAGGGGACCACGGUGUAAAUCGAUCUCUGGUCACGGAAGAGUGAAGGAUUUAAAGGACCAUGGCCUAGCCUGGGCAACAUGGCAAAACCCUGCCUCUACAAUAAAAUAUAAAAAAGUCAGCCGGGCCCAGGCCAGGCACGGUGGCUCAC